UUUAUUCUUUGUUUUUCUUUCAUUCUCAAUCUUUUCUUCUUUAUCUAGGAAUUAGAAAGUUCUUUGCCUCUCUCUGUAAACUCUGGCAACCAAACACCCAGAAACUGACAAGGGUCGCCGCUGCACAUCGCCAUCGAGCACCGCACGCUGCCGCCAUUAUUGCUUCAAAAUUUCACACGAUCUCGUCUUAGCUUUCUCUGUCACGUGCUUUAAAUAGUUUUUUCCAAAACAGUUUGGAUUAUCGUGGAUCUGAGUUCGAAGUUAAGAUUUUAUCCCUUCUUCCCGCCGUUCCGAUGGUCGCCGCUUCAAGGUAUAUUCUUGAACUUGUCCUCAGUCACCUUCUCACAAAUUUUGGAGACCCUAAUCUUCCUGGAAGUGGGUUAAACCAACCCCCCCCCCCAAAACAAAAAAGAAAAAACUCUGUUCUUUUUUUUUUUUUGUUUCUGAUCUCUUUGGUUUCUGACUUUGCUUCAUUUCUUCUUUGAAUUAGCGUUGACAGUGUUGGGAGGGGCUGAAUGGGUCUCGGCAAUGGCAUGGAAGGUGGUUCAGUGAUGAUAGUAUUGUUGUUUGUUUGUUGUUUUGAUUGCGUGUGUCUUGGUUGAGUUAGUGGCUGGGUCUCGGUUGUGGGUUGUUUUGCUGGAAAUUGUAAAAUCUCGUGUUGGGUUUGUUGUUGAUAAUUGAGGCCUGCUGGGAAUUGGGUUUCGCUUUCUGGAAAUUGAUUUAAUUUGGGACUCUGAUUGCUGAAUGGUUGUUUGGGGAAAUUAAAGGUGGUUGAACGGUGAUGGUGGGAUUAUUUUCUAUAUAUCGCUUUGGGGUCUGAUUGCUGGCAGUUGGGUGCUGUAGGUUUCGAUCAAGAUCGAUUGUGGUGUUUUUUGAGAUUGUUUUAGUGCAGGUGGGAAUGUGAGUGACUGGUUCUGGCAAGUUUGGCUGAUGGAUUUUGAGGCGGAAACUAGGCUGAUGGGAAUAGGGACGAUUGUAGGCUUUAUGGUUCUGGCAAUGUAUCUGUGAAUGGUGGUAUUUUGUUUCCGUCCCGUUCCGGUUAAUUGAGGCUGUUUAAAUAGAGAGACUGAGCCAAUUGAUUGAAAACUAGAUGAAGUUUAACUCUCUUAGAGAUGAUAAUCCCAUAACUUCAUCUUGGAAAAGAGAUUAAUCUAAUCUCAAUUUCUAUCAAAAG
rnacentral:lncRNA from 1 species